rnacentral:rRNA from 1 species
UGCGUAGGCGGAAAAUUAAGUCAGUUGUGAAAUCCUGCAGCUCAACUGUAGAACUGUCAUUGAUACUGAUUUUCUUGAAUACAGUUGAGGUAGGCGGAAUAUGUAAUGUAGCGGUGAAAUGCUUAGAUAUUACAUAGAACACCGAUUGCGAUGGCAGCUUACUAAACUUUGAUUGACGCUGAGACACGAAAGCGUGGGGAGCGAACAGGAUUAGAUACCCUGGUAGUCC